GACGAACCGUCCAAACGUUAUUCGGUAUCACUGGGCUUAAAGCGUUCGUAGGCGGCCUAGUAGGUGAGAUGUGAAAGCCCACGGCUCAACCGUGGAACAGCGUUUCAAACCACUAGGCUCGAGGAUGGCAGGGGUAAUGGGAACUGAUGGUGGAGCGGUGAAAUGCGUUGAUAUCAUCAGGAACACCGGUGGCGAAAGCGCAUUACUGGGCCAUUUCUGACGCUGAGGAACGAAAGCUAGGGUAGCGAACGGGAUUAGAAACCUUGUAGUCC
rnacentral:rRNA from 1 species